UACGGGGGGGGCAAGCGUUGUUCGGAAUUACUGGGCGUAAAGGGCUCGUAGGCGGCCAACUAAGUCGGAUGUGAAAUCCCCGGGCUUAACCUGGGAAUUGCAGCUUAUACUGUCUAACUGGAGUGCAAUAGAGGGUAGUGGAAUUUCCGGUGUAGCGGUGAAAUGCGUAGAUAUCGGAAGGAACACCAGUGGCGAAGGCGGCUACCUGGAUUGACACUGACACUGAGGCGCGAGAGCGUGGGGAGCAAACAGG
rnacentral:rRNA from 1 species